GACGAACGCUGGCGGCGUGCUUAACACAUGCAAGUCGAACGGAAAGGCCCUGCUUUUGUGGGGUGCUCGAGUGGCGAACGGGUGAGUAACACGUGAGUAACCUGCCCUUGACUUUGGGAUAACUUCAGGAAACUGGGGCUAAUACCGGAUAGGAGCUCCUGCUGCAUGGUGGGGGUUGGAAAGUUUCGGCGGUUGGGGUUGGACUCGCGGCUUAUCAGCUUGUUGGUGGGGUAGUGGCUUACCAAGGCUUUGACGGGUAGCCGGCCUGAGAGGGUGACCGGCCACAUUGGGACUGAGAUACGGCCCAGACUCCUACGGGAGGCAGCAGUGGGGAAUAUUGCACAAUGGGCGGAAGCCUGAUGCAGCAACGCCGCGUGCGGGAUGACGGCCUUCGGGUUGUAAGCCGCUUUCGCCUGUGACGAAGCGUGAGUGACGGUAAUGGGUAAAGAAGCACCGGCUAACUACGUG
rnacentral:rRNA from 1 species